rnacentral:rRNA from 1 species
AGCGAUUUCAAGGAAGUUUUCGGACGGAAUUGAAAUUGACUUAGCGGCGGACGGGUGAGUAACGCGUGGGUAACCUGCCUCAUACAGGGGGAUAACAGUUGGAAACGACUGCUAAUACCGCAUAAGCACACAGUGCCGCAUGGUACGGUGUGAAAAACUCCGGUGGUAUGAGAUGGACCCGCGUCUGAUUAGGUAGUUGGUGAGGUAACGGCCCACCAAGCCGACGAUCAGUAGCCGACCUGAGAGGGUGACCGGCCACAUUGGGACUGAGACACGGCCCAAACUCCUACGGGAGGCAGCAGUGGGGAAUAUUGGACAAUGGGGGAAACCCUGAUCCAGCGACGCCGCGUGAGUGAAGAAGUAUUUCGGUAUGUAAAGCUCUAUCAGCAGGGAAGAAAAUGACGGUACCUGACUAAGAAGCCCCGGCUAACUACGUGCCAGCAGCCGCGGUAAUACGUAGGGGGCAAGCGUUAUCCGGAUUUACUGGGUGUAAAGGGAGCGUAGACGGCACUGCAAGUCUGGAGUGAAAGCCCGGGGCUCAACCCCGGGACUGCUUUGGAAACUGUGGUGCUAGAGUGCAGGAGAGGUAAGUGGAAUUCCUAGUGUAGCGGUGAAAUGCGUAGAUAUUAGGAGGAACACCAGUGGCGAAGGCGGCUUACUGGACUGUAACUGACGUUGAGGCUCGAAAGCGUGGGGAGCAAACAGGAUUAGAUACCCUGGUAGUCCACGCCGUAACGAUGAAUACUAUGUGUUGGGGAGCAAAGCUCUUCGGUGCCGCCGCUAACGCA